AGAAAAAUAGCAACAGUGCUCCGUGCUCCUCUGCUUUUUAUAACUUUCCCCCUUUUUUUUCUGGCUUUCAUUUAGUCCCAUAAAGCAGAGUUUUCAGUUGGCUUCAAAGCUCUGUGCCGAGCUCAGUUGGGGGCCUUCAAAGCCCCCUGUCUGUCGGCAGGUUUAGGCACAGAGAAAGCUUCUUGUUCUUUAAGGAUUUGGCUCACAAAUAACGCCCAGCCAGGGCCAAGGCAGCCGAGCUUGCACCCUGACAGGAUAGUAGUCAGCAGACUCCUGCAUUUUAGUGAUGCGUUUUGGGGGCUAUUCCUACAUCUAUCCGAGACUGGAUUUUAAGGGUUAGAUGAAGCCCCAGCCUGUAAAAGAUGGAGGUAAAGAUGCCACCCUCUGCAGGCCUCCAUCACACAGGCAAGCUGUCCACGAUGCUAGCAACCGCCUCAAACAGGUGCAAAUGCUCGGGGAACUCCUCAUGCUGCCGGGGUGGAACAUGAAACGGCCUCUCCAGCUGGAAGAACAAGUGCUUCGGACUCCCUGAAGUGGUGCGGCACGGGGUCAUUGGAGAGCCACAGCUCUGUGUUUGGGAACAGAACAAUCUGUGUUAUUUCAGCACAGCCUGUUGGAUGAAGGGCCAUUUCACAGGCAUUAUGGAUUAAUCUUUGGCAGGAUCAAACUAAACUGGAUGUUUAACCUCACGUGUCCCAGAUCUCUUGUAAUAAACAGUUCUCUUGUGAUGAACCGGGGUGCAGAGGAUUGAACCGCGCUGGGUUAAAUUAUGAAUUAACCGUGUGGCUUUUUGUUAAAAUGCAGAGUUAUUCCAUACAGUGUACACAUCCUUCCUCAGGUAACAGGUAAAGUGCUUUUUAACAAAUCGACACAGAAAGAACAGUAAAAAUAUAACAAAGUA